UAUCCCUGUAUAACUGUGGGUGAGGAGGCCAGUGGCCAUGUGGAAAUGAUUUUCAUCAAGACCUCCUUUCACCUUCCUGGUCUGCUCUGAUGCUGCUGUAAAACAACUGUAAUGGAGAUGGGGAGCAAAGGGGGGCUUCUUUCCUCUUUCCUCCCUGACUGGAGGUAGCCAGGGAGGCCAGUUCAGUUCAGCUCUAUAUCUGUCAGUUCACGGUGCGUUCAUCCUGCCACCCUCCAACUCAACUGCCGGGUGGAAGCCAUAAAAGUGUCAGUGAACCAGAGUGACAUCUACUGUGUACAGCACCACCUUCAGAGCACUGCGGAGGCUUCCAGCCCUUCCUAAAUCCCCUGGUGAGGACAGUAGCAGUGAAUGACAUUUCCCCCAAGCCCAGAGGACACAGAGCAACAAUAAACAAAACAAUCACGCACAACAGAUACCAAGUUCAAAUCUUGACCUUCCAUUGAGGAGUUUGCCUAUCAUCUUGAUGAAUAUGUGGAUUUUCUCCAGAUAAUAUCCACUUCAUAAAACUUCUACUGGUUUGAACUGUUCCCCAUGGACAGACCCCAGAGAAUCAGCUGCUGGAACAUUUCUUCCUUGAGGAAUGCUCACACUGAAAACUGCGCCUCCAACGGCUGAGAUGAGGAAAGAAAGAAAAUAUCUUUGGCGGUUGUCUUUGGUGGUGUUGUUUUUCCAGUGUUCCGGGUUCCUUUCCCUGCUGCUGCAGUGAAUCACUUCAUCUUGGCUGGCUUCAGUUCCUUGACUUGCAUGUGUAAUGUUUUGUGGACAGCCAACGUCCUGGACUGACAGAAUCCUUUUCCGCACUCUUGACAUUUGAAGGGCUUUUCUUUGGAGUGGAUGUAUCUGCAAGAGGAAACAACAAGGCACAGUAUUAUGCUACAGGAAGGUUUCAAAACAAAGUCAGUUUUGUUUUUUGUUUUUUUUUACAUUUCACCAUGAAGUCAAGGACAUACAUGUAUAUGAUGUAGCAUCUACACAACCAGCAGUUAGUUCAUGGCAGUUACCACAGGUGACCUACAUUCACAGAUGCCUUUGUCGAUGUGUCAUCAAAUAUUUCUCUUCACGUGGCCAGCAGCCAUAUUUAGAAAGUGUUUGAUUUGGAUUGAAAAAAGCAAACAAAGAAACUGUUAGGACUGCAUUAUGAAUAGAAAUGUCUUUGGUAUUGUUGAGACAAGGUUAAUUUGGUUUUUUUAUGGAUGACACUUUGAAUGUUUUGUACCUGUAGUUUUCCAUUUACAAGUUCAACUAAUGCUAUAAAUCUUCUAAUCG